ensembl:lncRNA
CUGGAGUGGGUGCUGUUUCCAGAUGGCAGAUGCCCUUGUUGUUAAGUGUUAGUAGGGCUUCCCUUGUAGCUCAGUGGAUAAAGAAUCUGCCUGCAGUGCGGGAGACCUGGGUUCGAUCCCUGGGUUGGGAAGAUCCCCUGGAGAAGGAAAUGGUAACCCACUCCAGUAUCAUUGCCUGGAAAAUCUCAUGGACAGAGGAACCUGGUGAGCUGCAGACUGUGGGGUUGCAAAGAGUCGGGCGUGACUGAGCGACUAACAAUUAGAGAUUGCUCUUGGCAAGUGCCCGUCUGUAGUUGACACUAGGGAGAUGGAUGGACUGUUGGACCUGUUAACCAAAAAUAGUGAAAUAGUUAUUUUUACCAGCAAACCAAGUUUAUUCUGGAGCCGUAAAGGAUUGAAAUUCUAGACUCGCAACUAUGGCAAACCAUGUGAAAUUGUGGCAAAGCCAAAGAGAGGAAACUCUUUUAUGGAGGGGGAAAAGAAGUUGGGCGGGGCUGUUAUAAACACAAAGUGUUGACGGAAACUAGGAGAUCAGAGUAUAGUGGGUUUUCAUUGGCCAAAUUGUGACUGUCUCUUAUUGAGUGAGCAGUUGCCAGGCAAGGAAAAAAAUCUUUCUUCCUCCUCCUGAUAAUAAAACAAUGUCACUUCCUGCUGGGGAUGAGGGACCCGUCUUCCUGUCUGAGUCAUGUUGAUGGGGUACCUGUACUGAGCCGUACUUGUGUGAGAGCUCCUCCUUCUGGCCUUUUAGUUCCAUUUGAGUGAGCUUUGCUUUACUAAUUUUCAAAGAUACAUGAAUGGACAGUUGGAUGAAUGCAUGCCUGGUAUGUCAGUUAGAAGCACUUUUGGUUUCAAGUUCCCUGGUGGCUCAGAUGGUAAAGCGUCUGCCUACAGUGCAGGAGACCUGGGUUCAAUCCCUGGGUGGGGAAGAUCCCCGGGAGAAGGAAAUGGCAACCCACUCCAGUACUCUUGCCUGAAAAAUGCCAUAGACGGAGGAGCUUGGUAGGCUAUAGUCCAUGGGGUCCCAAAGAGUCGGACACGACUGAGCGACUUCACUUUCACUUGGUUUCAAAUGCAGUAAUUAUGAAAAGUGCAGUGGUUUGGACCAACAGGGGUUUAUUUUUCUCCCAUAACAAGAGUCCUGGAGGCAGGCAAGUCUGCUCAGCAGCCGUCAUGUCAGACCAGCAUCUCUGCAAUCAUGUUUGGCUUCCCUCAUGCUCACAGAGGGUUGCCACGGCUCUAGACACCACAUUCACUUUCCAGGCUAGACAAAGAGCGGAAAGAAUAGCGAAAGGGAUGUCUACCUCUUUU